AUUUACAUCUCUUUUCUCUACCAGGCAUAAGACUUCUUCAGUAUUUAGUCUGCAUUCUGGAGAGAAGGCAGAGUGUGUGGCAGACACCAACACCUGCCAGCCUGCAGCUGGGGCACUCACGAGUUCACAAUCUUGACGGCCACAUCAUGACCCCAAUUCUGGUGGUAUGCCUGGAACACUGUGCCGAAUCCGCCUUGACCAAUGACCUUCUGGUUCUUCAAAUCUUCGAUGGGCACCAUGGAGGCUCGGGCACUGUUGAGCC